GGGCAUGGCCGGCGGCUACACAUGCAAGUCGACGGUAGCACAGAGAGCUUGCUCUCGGGUGACGAGUGGCGGACGGGUGAGUAAUGUCUGGGAAACUGCCUGAUGGAGGGGGAUAACUACUGGAAACGGUAGCUAAUACCGCAUAACGUCGCAAGACCAAAGAGGGGGACCUUCGGGCCUCUUGCCAUCAGAUGUGCCCAGAUGGGAUUAGCUGGUAGGUGGGGUAACGGCUCACCUAGGCGACGAUCCCUAGCUGGUCUGAGAGGAUGACCAGCCACACUGGAACUGAGACACGGUCCAGACUCCUACGGGAGGCAGCAGUGGGGAAUAUUGCACAAUGGGCGCAAGCCUGAUGCAGCCAUGCCGCGUGUAUGAAGAAGGCCUUCGGGUUGUAAAGUACUUUCAGCGGGGAGGAAGGCGAUGAGGUUAAUAACCUUGUCGAUUGACGUUACCCGCAGAAGAAGCACCGGCUAACUCCGUGCCAGCAGCCGCGGUAAUACGGAGGGUGCAAGCGUUAAUCGGAAUUACUGGGCGUAAAGCGCACGCAGGCGGUCUGUCAAGUCGGAUGUGAAAUCCCCGGGCUCAACCUGGGAACUGCAUUCGAAACUGGCAGGCUGGAGUCUUGUAGAGGGGGGUAGAAUUCCAGGUGUAGCGGUGAAAUGCGUAGAGAUCUGGAGGAAUACCGGUGGCGAAGGCGGCCCCCUGGACAAAGACUGACGCUCAGGUGCGAAAGCGUGGGGAGCAAACAGGAUUAGAUACCCUGGUAGUCCACGCUGUAAACGAUGUCGACUUGGAGGUUGUUCCCUUGAGGAGUGGCUUCCGGAGCUAACGCGUUAAGUCGACCGCCUGGGGAGUACGGCCGCAAGGUUAAAACUCAAAUGAAUUGACGGGGGCCCGCACAAGCGGUGGAGCAUGUGGUUUAAUUCGAUGCAACGCGAAAAACCUUACCUACUCUUGACAUCCACAGAACUUAGCAGAGAUGCUUUGGUGCCUUCGGGAACUCUGAAACAGGUGCUGCAUGGCUGUCGUCAGCUCGUGUUGUGAAAUGUUGGGGUUAAGUCCCGCCAACGAGCGCAACCCUUUAUCCUUUGUUGCCAGCGGUUCCGGCCGGGAACUCAAAGGAAACUGCCAGUGAUAAACUGGAAGGAAGGUGGGGGAUGACGUCAAGUCAUCCUGGCCCCUUACGAAUAAGGGCUACCACCGUGGCUACAAUGGGCAAUUACAAAGAAAAACCGACCUUCGGAAAACCAACCGGACCUUCAAAAAAUAUUCCCUAUUCCCGGAUGGGAAUUUGGCACCUCCACUCCCUGGAAAUCGGAAAUCCGUAGAAAUCCGGGGAUCCAAAAUGCCCCCGGGGAAAAACUUUCCCGGGCCCUUUUAAACCCCCCCCCCGUUAACCCAUGGGGGAAGGGGGUUUCAAAAAAAAAAUUGGGGUUUUAAACUUUUUGGGAGGCCCCUUCCAACCUUUUUGGUUUCUUAACCGGGGGGGGAAGAUUUUAACAAGGACACCUGGGACCCCCUGUGCCGUUGCCUUUUACCCCUUCAACUAUAAAAAUAGGAGGU
rnacentral:rRNA from 1 species